CAGGCCUAACACAUGCAAGUCGAACGGAAAGGCCCUGCUUUUGUGGGGUGCUCGAGUGGCGAACGGGUGAGUAACACGUGAGUAACCUGCCCUUGACUUUGGGAUAACUUCAGGAAACUGGGGCUAAUACCGGAUAGGAGCUCCUGCUGCAUGGUGGGGGUUGGAAAGUUUCGGCGGUUGGGGAUGGACUCGCGGCUUAUCAGCUUGUUGGUGGGGUAGUGGCUUACCAAGGCUUUGACGGGUAGCCGGCCUGAGAGGGUGACCGGCCACAUUGGGACUGAGAUACGGCCCAGACUCCUACGGGAGGCAGCAGUGGGGAAUAUUGCACAAUGGGCGGAAGCCUGAUGCAGCAACGCCGCGUGCGGGAUGACGGCCUUCGGGUUGUAAACCGCUUUCGCCUGUGACGAAGCGUGAGUGACGGUAAUGGGUAAAGAAGCACCGGCUAACUACGUGCCAGCAGCCGCGGUGAUACGUAGGGUGCGAGCGUUGUCCGGAUUUAUUGGGCGUAAAGGGCUCGUAGGUGGGUGAUCGCGUCGGAAGUGUAAUCUUGGGGCUUAACCCUGAGCGUGCUUUCGAUACGGGUUGACUUGAGGAAGGUAGGGGAGAAUGGAAUUCCUGGUGGAGCGGUGGAAUGCGCAGAUAUCAGGAGGAACACCAGUGGCGAAGGCGGUUCUCUGGGCCUUUCCUGACGCUGAGGAGCGAAAGCGUGGGGAGCGAACAGGCUUAGAUACCCUGGUAGUCCACGCUGUA
rnacentral:rRNA from 1 species